GGAGGUGUUUCCGGGUCUGGUGACCGGCACGGUCUUCAAAACCGUUGAGGCGGGCUGCGCUCGCCUGGCGAGUUCGAUUCUCGUCCACCUCCGCCA
rnacentral:tRNA from 1 species